CAGGUUGCUGCAACAUCUGCACUAGCAUCUUCGAUCCUAUGAGCUGUCAGCCAUACAGGGAAGCCUGUCUAUCCACCUGCAAUCUGACUUCAAUGAUACAAUCCCACUCUCUGCAUACAAGAUUGAUGGCUUGCUGCUGUUGACUCCCAAGAGGUUCAUACAAGUGAGACAAAAUUAAGACCACUCACUCUAUGUGAUGGCAGCUGAAGCCCCACAAAACAUGAUCCUUCGUGUCAUCGAGGCAGACCGUGUUAGAAAAUUAAAACUCAGCUCCCGUCCAGCCUCUGUUGAUGCAGUGAUUGAGAUUCAGUUUGCAAUACAAAAAUCCAGACUUUGAUGGAAAACUCACUUGCCUUGUUGACAUCGAGGAGUUACCACAAAAAGCCUGUGUUCAUAUUUCAGUUAGACAGGAUUCCAGUUCUCUUGCAUCAACUGAUACCCUUUCAGAUGUGUCAUCCCCAGAACAUCUGAGCAGAUGGCCUCCAGGUCCUUUACAAAUUCCCACAUUUGCAUUUGACGUUGAGCUGACACUUAGAGAUGGGAAUGCUGAAUUUGAAAAGAAUGAGAGACCUCUUCAGUUGUCAAGGGACCAAAAGCACAAUAUUUUAGACAAACUGGCAUCUACCAUAUAUGGUUUUAAGGCUUACCCCAGUGAUAAAGAGAUAGCAAUGGUGGCUGAAGCUCUUGUGAGGAAACACCCAUGUUUAAAAGAAGCAGGAUCUGACAAUGGAUGGGAUGGCUGGAAGAACAGCAUCAAGUUUAAAAUGGGCAAUUACAGGACCAAGAUGAGAAGGGCUGGAUGUCAGGAGGUCGCUGUAAAUGCUGGGAAAAGAAGCCGAAAAAACCCUGAGAAUGAACCUUCACACUCCAACAUCAAAAGGCCUAAGUGUGCAGAGGUCAACUUUCUGCCUAACUUUCCUCAAGGAGAGGAUCCCUCAAGCCUUGACCUUUUGAGGCAGGCUAUUGUCGAGGAAGUAAAGAAGACUGAGAGAAACCUACCCCUUAUUAGUAAGAUGAUGCAGAACACGUUUGCCUUGCGACGACAGACUAUUGUAAUGUCCUGCCCACCGGUGAAAGAGCUAAUGGACCUCUGGCCUGCUCUUCAUAUGCAGUCUGAGGUAUAUGUAGAGUUCCAACGGAUAACUAACCAGAACCUACCUAACACUUUCUAUGCCGAGCUUGAUCGCCACACUCCUCGUUUGAUGGCCUUAUUUAGACAGAAAGCUUCCAAAACUGAAAAGACUGCAGAUGCUUUGGCAAACAUUUUCAAAGUCCAUGAUACACAGGAAUUACAUGAUGUCCACACAAAGGCGUACCACUGUUCUCCAUGCCCUUCCUGAUUAUCUACUAGAGGAAGUCUCUGGAUUUUUCAGAACAUGUGUGGAUGAUAUGGAUGAGCCAGACCUGUGGGAUGCAUCAGUGGUCCUCCUUACAACAGUCAGUGAUGAUGCCACAAGCCCAGUUCACUACCACCCAGUGAGAGUCUCUGUCGUCCUAGAGGGUGAUGUGGUUGUCAAUCUCCCCAGGCUUGCUGAUGCCUUCCUGGUAAUGUUCGGCCUGAUUUAUGCACUACAUCUCAGCUAUCCCAAGGGACUGACAAACACUUUUGAGUUCACACAGAAAAUCUUGCUUGGUCUUGAUGACUCUAAACUGUCACCCAAGCUGCAGACUCUUAAAAAUGAGCUGAUGUUGUAUGUGUAACUGAAGAUCCAAAAAGGAGUGGUGGAUUCUGAUGGCUCACUCUGUUAGAGCAUAAUCCAUAAUGAGAAUAUGUCAUGUCAGGUCCAUGUUGAAUACUGUUCAACUGUUUAUGUUAAAGUUGCUGCUCUACUCAACUGGUUUUCAGCCAAAUGGCACAAAGUACACACUGUCUUUGUACAUUUUAAUGUACAUUUUAUUGUUGUUAAAACUGAAAUUCAGGGUUGAAUUAAGUGUUUAUAUAUGGAGGAUAUUUUUAUUCAUAAUUCAAAUUGAAAGGCCAAAGGGAAAACGAAGCGAGAUCAAAUUAAAAAUAUUAUUAUUAUACUACACUACUAGGAAAAAUCAUGCCAUAAUUAAAUUUAAAAUGUCAAAUUUAAAAUACAAAGCUUCAACUGUCAGCUGGAAGUCGUUUCAGACAAUCCCACCAGCCGUUGGGCCAUGCCUCCUCAUUUAAAUUGACACCUGUCACUUCUAAAUGAAAAGCUUAAAUCAAAAUGUAAAAGGUGAAUCUGAAAAUGUCAAUGUAAAAUGUAAAA